AACUGUAAACAUCCUUUGUUUUCUAAAAUAUUUUUUAAUAAUAGUUAUAAUAUAAACAAUUGUAAAAUAUUAAAAUACUUACAAUGCAAUGUUGUGCGUGGGUGGUGUUACAAUUGCUGCUUUGUCAAGGCUACAUUUAAAGCGCAUAGCACCCGGUGCACUGUGGUUUUAGCUUUGGAUUAGAACCAAAAGGAGGUGAGGUUUGAUGCCAGCUGAAAAGGAAACCAGGCUCCAGAAAAUAUGUAGAUUAUUCUCAAGAAAAGCUCCAACAGUGUCUUAAUGCUUUUAAUGAAGGCCUAAUGAGUCAGAGAGUAGCAUCUAAACAUUUUUGCAUUUCUAGAAUGACCAUUCAAAGUAAACUAAAGCUAAAACACAAUCAAAAACCACGACAUCCUACAACAUUUACUGCUUUGGAAGAAUCUUUUUUUUAUUUCUCACAUCUUGGUAGUGUCUGAGUUUGGAUUCUCUGUUGAUGAAUUGGAUUUUAGAUUUAUUGCAAGGAUUACCUCUCUUCCCAAAACGAAACUAUUCCAAAGUGUAGAAACAAUUUUCUAGGACAUAAAUGAAGUAAAUUAUUUUUAAAAAGACAUUCUAUGCUCACUUUGAGGUUGGCAGUUAAUAUAAAACGUUAUCGAGUUGCUGUUAACGAAAAAACUUUAAGCAAGUUUAUUAAAAACCUCAACCAAGUUGUUACAAAUGUGCCAGCAGAAAAUAUACACUACUAUGAUGAAUCAAGCUUAAGUGAUGACCCAGGCCGCAAAAAAAAUUAUGUGUCGUAAAGGCUGUAAAUACCCUGAAAGUAAUGAACUUAUCAAAGUCCAAUAUUUCAGCCAUGUUUUGUUCCAACGCUGCUGGAUGUACAAUACCACCUUACGUUGUCUACAAACCAGAAAAUCUGUGGUCAAUGUGGACUUAAAACGGUCCCCAUGGAACUAAAUACAAUCGCACAAAACACGGAUGGUAAGAUAGUGUCAUAUUUGAGGAGUGGUUUACUGCUCAUCUCCUUCCUAUACUGAAAAAAUAGACUGGAAAAAAAGUUCUUAUUGGGGAUAGUUUAUCAUCACACAUCAGUCAGAAUAUUUUAAAAUUAUGCCAAGUAAAUAACAUAGUAUUUGCGUGUUUACCACUUAACUCAUCGCAUUUAACACAGCCUCUAGAUGUUGCAUAUUUUAGGCCACUAAAAAGUAAGUGGAAAACUGUUUCAACUCUGUGGAAAAAAUUACCUGCAGGUAAAAAAUCCACAACGCUUCCAAAAGAACGCUUUCCACCACUUCUAAAAAAAGUCCUGGAAUUAAUAAAAGACACUCUUAGUGAAAAUUUAAUAUCAGGUUUUGCUAAGUAUGGAAUUUAUCCUUUUAAUAAAGAACCUCUUUAUAAUCGUUUGCCACUGCAUGAUCGAUCAUCUGUUAAUCUAAGCCUUAUUUCUAAAGCAUUUAUCAGUCAAAUGACAAUCGUGCAGACCUUGUACCUUCAAUAACAAAGCGCAAAAAGAAACUAAAUGUUCCACCAGAAAAAGGAAUCUGUCCUGACUCAGAAGAAUCAGAAGUUGUUCCAGUCAAAAAUGCCCUAGAAGCGCCCCAGAAACGAAAAAAAGUUAAUUGUGAUAUCUCUAGUGCAGCGUCUAACAGUCAGCAUAAGUCUAGGCUGCGGGCUUUUAAAUCUGAUUGAAACAAUUAUUUUUAAACAUUAAAUGUUUAUAUGUAGCAGUUACUUACUUACCAAUUUAGUUAUUGUUUCAUUAUAACAGAACAAAAAAAAGAUUAAUAAAAUAUACUAAGUUUUCUGUAUAA
rnacentral:lncRNA from 1 species